rnacentral:rRNA from 1 species
CGGACGGGUGAGUAAUGCUUGGGAAUCUGGCUUAUGGAGGGGGAUAACUACGGGAAACUGUGGCUAAUACCGCAUAAUAUCGAAAGAUUAAAGGGUGGGACUUUCGGGCCACCUGCCAUGAGAUGAGCCCAAGUGGGAUUAGGUAGUUGGUUAGGUAAAGGCUGACCAAGCCGACGAUCUCUAGCUGGUCUGAGAGGAUGACCAGCCACACUGGAACUGAGACACGGUCCAG